CCACAGCAAAUCCGAUGCAAAGCUGGGUAAAAAUAAGUCUCCUUACAUGCGUGUGUGCAUUCCUUCAUUCACGAUUCCCAUGUUCCAUGCUUUUCCUGGGUAAUGAACCCCCGUCAGGGCCCAGGAGCUGACUGCAGCAGCUGCUUCAUGUACAUCUCACUGCAUCCUCCCACCAACGCUGUGAUGUGGAGGUGAAGAAGAUCUCCAUUUUACAGGAGAAGAAACGAAGACCUGGAAAGCACUGAUGACUUCAGGUUGCAGCCAGCCAUCAGGGAGCCAGCAAUAGAUGCAAGGAUUGGAGGACUCUGAGGCUAAUAUGGAGUAGAAUGCUCAGUAAAUGCCAGCUGCAGUGGGGUGGCCAUCCCAGGGGAUGAUGCCCCAGUGCCCAGGUCCUCUGUGCAAGUUCAUCCCAAGCUGUGCCAUCCCUUCCAAAUCCUUCACAAGCCAGAUGCAGGAGCGAAUCUUGUCACUGAGUUGCAGUCAUGGCCUAAGGGUGUUUCAGGAUAAACAGAAGAAGCAGAGGACAGCUGAUCUGGAUGUGUUGCCUCCCCCACUAACAUUAUUGUUACCCUCUUGGAAUUAGAGACCAUGCCAGCCUGUAUCUCCUCCUUCCUCUCUGUCCUGUGCAGAGCUGAGUGUGUCCUCAAUGUUUACAUAAAAUGCCAUAAAUCAUGGAAUCUUUAAGCACAAGAGACCUCAGAGGCCAACUCCAAGCCACAAACAAGGAACCCUGAAUCGAAAGGGAAUCUAAAGCUUCAGGCAAAGAGAGAGGAGAUUGGAUGGUGUGUCAAGCACAGUGCUACCCCCUUUAUAGGCAUGGCAUUGAGGUAGGACAUGGGACUUGACUCUGGAGGCAGGGCUCAGGUACGGGACCAAACUGAAGACUAGCUAAAAUAGGGACAGGGUGAAAACACCUUUCCAUAGGAAAUGCCUGUCAGUGUGCCAUGUCAGUUUAUCAUUGCCAUGGCAACACCUGGAAGUUACUGCCCCUUUCCAUGGCAACAACCCGAUGACUGGAAAGUUUCCAACCCUUUUCUAGAAAUUUCUGCAUAAUGCACCCUUUAAUUUGCAUAUAAUUAAAAGUGGGUAUAAAUAUGACUGCAGGACUGCCUCUGAGCUGCUACUCUGGGCACAUUGCCUAUGGGGUAGCCCUGCUCUGCAAGAAGAAGUACCUCUGCUGCUGUGGUACACUGCCACUUCAAGAAAAGUUGCUAACACCACUGGCUAGCCCUUGAAGCCCUUGAAUUAUUUCCUAGGCAAAGCCAAGAACUCUCGCAAGCUAAACCCCAAUUUGGGGGGCUCACCUGCCCUGCAUCAGCGUAAUUUAAUACUCACAGCUACCCUCCAAAGCCAGCAUCAUGAUACCCACCUGAGAGGUCAGAAAACCGAGACACGGAGUGAUGGCGGCUGACUCAGUUCCCCUAGCUGGGACUCACAGCUGGAUGCAAGCUGCCUAACCUGAGGCUUCAGGCUCUAUCCACAGUCUGCAGGCAUACUGACUGGCCUCUGUUUAUGCAUCUGUGAAAUGGGGAUGAUGAGGGCAAGUAUUCAUACUAUGCCCCACCCAGCAGGCUUCAGGCAAUGAGGAACUAUAAGCAUGGAUGUGAAUGUGUUCUGGACAUGGAAUGGAUGAUACAAAGAGAAUGGAUACUCAGGUGCCCAGAGAGCCCUGGCUUUGUUCCUGGAAGUGGUCAGAUAAAAAAACCAAAAAAAAAAAAACAGUUUGGAUGUGGAGUCAGGAAGAACUAGGUUCAAAUAUUACCUUUUCCACUUAAUCAGUGCCUGACCUUUGGCAGGUAACUCUACCAACCCUUCCACCCGCCUUUUGUAAAUAUUCACAGAGUGAGGGUCAUGUGCAAGAUACAGAAGUCAGUCUGGAUUCAAAUAGGCUCUGCUGGGGUGACAUGUAGGAAUCUGCACAAGUGAUUUGUCAUCGUCACCAUCAUCAUCACUGAGGCACAGCACACAUAUAAUACAAUGCAUAAAUCUAAAAGCAAAACCUGAAGAAUUUCUGCAUGUGCAUAGUGUUGUAGACUAAAUUGUGUCCUCCCACCCCCUGAAAAGUUAUCUAUUGAAGUCCUGACCUUCAUAACUUGGGAAAAUGGCUGUAUUUGAAGACAAGAUCUUUAAAGAAGUAAAGUAAAAUGAGGCCAUUAGGGUGGGCCCUAAUCCAUUUUACUGAUGUCAUGCACGGAUGCAUGUGUACAGAGGAAAGGCCAUGUGAGGACACGGCGAGAAGACGGCCACCUGCAAGCCAAGGAGAGAGAUCUCAAGAGAGACCAAACCUGCUGGCCCCUGAUCUUACACUUCCAGCUUCCAGAAUUGUAAGAAAGUAAACUUCGGUUGUCCAACCUACCCAGUCUGUGGUAUUUUGUUAUGGUAGCCUGGUCAGACUAAUACACAUAACCUUGUGUAACCAGCACUACGAUUAGGAGCAGAAUAUUUCCAAUAACCCAGCAGCCCCUGCCAUCAUGACCUUCUCAAUCUUGCCCUCUACCCCCAGAAGUAAUCAUUGCUCUGAUCCCUGUUAUCAUCAACUAGUUCUGUCCAUUUCUGAACUUCAUAUAGGUGGAACCAUACAAUAUGUUUCCUUUGUGCCUGGCUUCUUUGACUCAGCAUUCCAUUUCUGAAAUGCAUCUUUCCUAUUGGGUGCAGCCGUCAUUCAUUCUUUUUCUUUGCUGUAUAAUAUUCCACCGUGUGACUUCAUCACAGUUUGUUUAUCCAUUUCCCCAUUGAUACACAUUUUGGUUGUUUCUAUUUUUUAGCUCUUUUGAAUAAAGCUCUUAUGGGCAUUCUUGUGCAAGUCUUCAAUAGCCCUGCACACUCGUUUUUCGAGGGGUAUAUACUCAGGAAUAAAAUUGCUGAGUCACAGCUUAAAUGUAUAUUUAGCUUUAAUUAAUGUUAGAGUUUGUGCUUUAACCUUUCCGCAC
rnacentral:lncRNA from 1 species